rnacentral:rRNA from 1 species
ACGGAAGGUGCAAGCGUUAAUCGGAAUCACUGGGCGUAAAGAGCGCGUAGGCGGUUAGAUAAGUUGGGUGUGAAAGCCCUGGGCUCAACCUGGGAACUGCAUUCAAUACUGUCUGACUAGAGUGUGAUAGAGGGAGGCGGAAUUCCGCAUGUAGCGGUGAAAUGCGUAGAGAUGCGGAGGAACACCAAUGGCGAAGGCAGCCUCCUGGAUUAACACUGACGCUGAGGCGCGAAAGCGUGGGGAGCAAACAGG